rnacentral:tRNA from 1 species
UCCUUGGUGGCUCAGACGGUAAAGCGCCUGCCUACAGUGCGGGAGACCCAGGUUCAAUCCCUGGGUUGGGAA